rnacentral:rRNA from 1 species
UACGGAGGGUGCAAGCGUUAUCCGGAUUUAUUGGGUUUAAAGGGUGCGUAGGCGGCUUUUUAAGUCGGCGGUGAAAUUUUGCAGCUUAACUGUAACAGUGCCGUUGAUACUGGGGAGCUAGGAUUUGGUUGCUGUGGGUGGAAUGUGUGGUGUAGCGGUGAAAUGCUUAGAGAUCACACAGAAUAUCGAUUGCGAAGGCAGCUCACAAAGCCAAGAUUGACGCUGAGGCACGAAAGUGUGGGGAUCAAACAGGAUUAGAUACCCCCGUA